ACAUAUCACGUUGAAACACCGAUUCUCGUACGAUCACCGAAGUUAAGCAACGUCGAGUCUGAUCAGUAGCUAGAUGUUUGACCGCAUGUGAAUG